GUGUGCUUUUAAAGUUGAUGCAGUGCUUUAAGAGGCUAACACUGAAGGUUAAAGGUAACUUCCAUAAAAUUUAGAGAAUAGGUUGCAAAACUCCUCUUUGAAUCAGUUACAGUUGGAAAAAAAAAA
ensembl:snoRNA